CAGCACCUCAAGUGGUCAGGAUGAUUAUUGGGCCUAAAGCAUCCGUAGCCGGCGCUGUAAGUUUUCGGUUAAAUCUGUACGCUCAACGUACAGGCUGCCGGGAAUACUGCAGCGCUAGGGAGUGGGAGAGGUAGGCGGUACUCGGUAGGAAGGGGUAAAAUCCUUUGAUCUAUUGAUGACCACCUGUGGCGAAGGCGGUCUACCAGAACACGUCCGACGGUGAGGGAUGAAAGCUGGGGGAGCGAACCGGAUUAGAGACCCGAGUAGUCC
rnacentral:rRNA from 1 species